UACAGAGGUCUCAAGCGUUGUUCGGAUUCAUUGGGCGUAAAGGGUGCGUAGGCGGCGCGGUAAGUGUGAUGUGAAAUCUUCGGGCUCAACCCGAAAACUGCAUUGCAAACUGGCCUGGCUAGAGUGCAGGAGAGGGAAGCGGAAUUCCAGGUGUAGCGGUGAAAUGCGCAGAUAUCAGGAGGAACACCAAUUGCGAAGGCAGCUCGCUGGGACGUUACUGACGCUGAGACGCGAAAGCGUGGGGAGCAAACAGG
rnacentral:rRNA from 1 species